GGGCUUGUGGUUUAGUGGUAUAAUACUCCCUUAGCACUGUUAGGUCCAAAUGGAUAUAAUAUCUACGUGGGAGUGGUCCGGGGUUCGAUUCCCCGCGAGUCCA